ACAUGCCUACAACAUAGCAUUGAUGCACUAGAUCCCAUUAGAACUCUAUAGUUAAGUGCACUCAUGCUAGAGUAGUACUCGGAUGGGUGAUUUCCUGAGAAUUCCUAAUGUUUUUCAUGCC
rnacentral:rRNA from 1 species